rnacentral:rRNA from 1 species
UGCGCAGGCGGACUAAUAAGUCAGUGGUGAAAUCUUUCGGCUUAACCGGGAAACUGCCAUAGAUACUGUUAGUCUUGAGUUCGGUUGAGGUAGGCGGAAUGUGUAAUGUAGCGGUGAAAUGCUUAGAUAUUACACAGAACACCAAUUGCGUAGGCAGCUUACUAGACCGACACUGACGCUGAGGCACGAAAGCGUGGGGAGCGAACAGGAUUAGAUACCCUGGUAGUC